rnacentral:rRNA from 1 species
ACAGCAGUAGCCGCGGGAAUACGUAGGGUGCGAGCGUUAAUCGGAAUUACUGGGCGUAAAGCGUGCGCAGGCGGUUAUAUAAGACAGAUGUGAAAUCCCCGGGCUCAACCUGGGACCUGCAUUUGUGACUGUAUAGCUAGAGUACGGUAGAGGGGGAUGGAAUUCCGCGUGUAGCAGUGAAAUGCGUAGACAUGCGGAGGAACACCGAUGGCGAAGGCAAUCCCCUGGACCUGUACUGACGCUCAUGCACGAAAGCGUGGGGAGCAAACAGGAUUAGAUACCCCUGUAGUCCCUGUCUCUUAUAC